rnacentral:rRNA from 1 species
GAUGAACGCUGGCGGCGUGCCUAAUACAUGCAAGUCGAGCGAAUGGAUUAAGAGCCUGCUCUUAUGAAGUUAGCGGCGGACGGGUGAGUAACACGCGGGUAACCUGCCCAUAAGACUGGGAUAACUCCGGGAAACCGGGGCUAAUACCGGAUAACACUUUGAACCGCAUGGUUCGAAAUUGAAAGGCGGCUUCGGCUGUCACUCAUGGAUGGACCCGCGUCGCAUUAGCUAGUUGGUGAGGUAACGGCUCACCAAGGCAACGAUGCGUAGCCGGCCUGAGAGGGUGAUCGGCCACACUGGGACUGAGACACGGCCCAGACUCCUACGGGAGGCAGCAGUAGGGAAUCUUCCGCAAUGGACGAAAGUCUGACGGAGCGACGCCGCGUGAGUGAUGAAGGCUUUCGGGUCGUAAAACUCUGUUGUUAGGGAAGAACAAGUGCUAGUUGAAUAAGCUGGCACCUUGACGGUACCUAACCAGAAAGCCACGGCUAACUACGUGCCAGCCGCCGCCGUAA